rnacentral:rRNA from 1 species
UACGAAGGGGGCUAGCGUUGCUCGGAAUGACUGGGCGUAAAGGGCGCGUAGGCGGUUUGGACAGUCAGAUGUGAAAUUCCUGGGCUCAACCUGGGGGCUGCAUUUGAUACGUUUCGGACUGAGAGUGGGGAAGAGGGUCGUGGAAUUCCCAGUGUAGAGGUAGAAAUUCGUAGAUAUUGGGAAGAACACCGGUGGCGAAGGCGGCGACCUGGUCCUUGACUGACGCUGAGGCGCGAAAGCGUGGGGAGCGAACAGG